rnacentral:misc_RNA from 1 species
AGAAAGUGAAACAACAUUUUUCAAACACAAAUGUUAUUCAUUUGAUGAGUCAUAUGAUCUAAUGUCCACAAACAUUACAUCUUUCUCAAGACCUCACAAAGCCAAAACUGAGGCAAACCAAAAAAGAAUACACAUUACCUGCUCAAGCCUUCAAUGGUAGGCUUAAAAAUAAGCUUAGCAGCCAAAGCUAAAACUGGACCAAGCUGGGGAUGCAGAUCGUUUCCAUCUCGGUGACACUAAUGUGGAAUUCAUUGGGUCGUGUUCCUCGAUAGGUUAAGUCAAAAUAUGUUUGCGCAGGUUCAUUAUAAUAUCCUGAAAGGCUGGUUUGCAGAGCUAGAGCGCUCAAGCCUCGCUUUCUUAACCUUUGUCUUUUUGCUUGCAAAAUCUUGGAAAAGGUUUGGUCCACCAAAUUCAAUUUUGGAGCUCCUAAUCUUCCUCCUCUUACCUGUGUCAUAUUCCUCAUCCCACUCAUCCCCAAUGUACCCAAUGGUGACACAAUUUCCGUUCUGUGCUUCUACACCUUUCAAGGAACGAACUUCAACGUCGUCCCAACGAGCAACGCUGGACUCCAACCCUCUGGUAAGCAUAUUUAACAGACCUUUCCGUGUUGCAACUACUUUAGUCUCUUUAGAAUCAGUAGACUGUCUAUUGUCAACACCUUGACUUCCUACUGGUGCAAACCUAGAGCUUUUUUGUGGUUGUUUGUCAUUUGCUAAUACAGUGCCAUUGUUUACAACUCUUUCGUCAUUAACUGUAUUCCUCAGCAGAUCCCCAUUGUGCCCAGCAGUACUGGAAACUUUCUCAUUGGAACCAAGUUUUGACUUCUUUCUUUGAGACUGCAUUGGAGAAGAUACCAAAGUAUGGGAUAAUUUGGAUGUAGAUGGCCCAAGAUCAGAAUUGCUCUCAUCCAUGGAACUGGGAUUGCUACGCUUUCUCUUUCCAAUUCUAUGAUUCAUUCGUUUUUUCUUCCUAUUCAGUCCCAAAGCUGGAUCUAAGAUCAUAAAACUGAGAUGCAACUUGGUGACACGACUCUUGAACGACUUCUUUUUGGCUUUCAAGCAUGCCUUGUCAAUAGCUACCUUUUCUGCCGAGCUAGUCAUAGUUGGUUGGCUCAGUACUCCAGCGGAUUCAGCAACUGCUUUUCUCUGUCCAACAUCAUUGUUAACUUCAACAGCUGAACCACCUAAACUGCCAUUGGAGAUGCCUUUUACCACUUGAAUGUUGGUGUCUGCCUUGCUGCAUUCCACUUGUUUGUUCAACAGUUUGGCAGGAGUGCUUGGAUCUUUGUCACUAUUUACGCUGCUAAAGUGAAAUGGUAUUGCAGCAGAGCAAGUCAACUCUUUGAUGGUUACAUUGCCAUUAGGUAGUGGGGUAGAGUCUCCGCAUCUUGCGUCCCCCUUGUUAUCAAGUCUAUGAGUUCCAUUGCAGACUGGAACAGCAGGAUUAGCUUUAAGUAAGGAUGGUCCAUCCUCUGCGUCUACAACAGAAGGGUCCUUUACGCUGUCACCUGUUUCUUGUACUUUCGGCAAAUUUUCUGGCUGUAUAGCCCCUCCGUGAGAAGAGAACCCAUUAACUACUGCACCAUUAACCUUUGGAGGUGUCAGAUCCUUUGUUGAAGUUCCCUUUGAAACUUCGGCACUUAAUGUCUCCCUUUGAUCUUUUGUACAAGAUAAGGAUCCCUCAUUCUUCACAUGAAAUCCAUUUUGAGCAGUAUCCUUAAAUCUCUGGCUGUGAUUAGAAGAUAUUUUAUUUCCUAUGCCAUUAGUAAUCACAUUAUCAUUGCGGGCAACAUCUACAGACUUCUUAGGCACAGGAGAUUUCUUAUCCCGGACAUAGAAUAACAUGUAUGCCUUCUGCUCUAACACCUUUCUCUCACUCACUUGAACAACCUGAUUGUCAUCAAGGGAGUACCAAUUUCCACUUGAAGUGCGAACAAAGCAAUAAUAAUGACCAGAAUGGGUGCUCCAACCUGCAUGAACCAGCACACCAUAGAGUGUGUACUUCAAUUCACCACUAUAGGUAUCAGAUACAAAAUGUUUCAAGUCUAAAGUAGGCCCGUAAUGAAUCUUUUUAUCGAUCUUUUGCCCAGGGACAUGUGAACCAAAUCGCUUCAAGUGGACAGUUAGGACAUGAGGUGCCCGGUCAAUUGUUAGCCGUUUAGUAGCCUUCACUUUCUGUUUGCACUGCUGACAUUGGUACUGCCUCUGACCACCAUCUAAGAGUUCUCUGGCAGUAAAAUGGUCAAGUGCUUUGAGUAGUGAAUCUGCCCUCAAAAUUUCUAGACUUAGAUCCAGAAAUGGAUCAAACUUGUCAGAGCAAAAUUUACACUGCAUGCACUGCACCUGACUGCGAAGACGCCCACCAAAUAUCUUAUGAACCAAACUUUUCUCAUAAGCACUGGGGGAUUCACUAGGCACUCCUGAAGGUAAGCAACAUUUAUGCAUCGACUCGAGCAGAUUCACCAUGUAUUCAUGUGCAUCCUCCUGUCUAGCAUUUCGAAAAUUCCGCGAUAUGCAUCGUAAGUUUGACACAAGAUCCUUGGGCGCCAGUAUUUUCCCAGUUGCCUGCAAAGCACGACUCACGUGUUUUUGGAUGGCGCAUAAAGCACAAAAACCAGCCAUACGACAGGAACUUUGAUGUUUCCCACUUUCCAAGUAUGCUGCUAAUGGCUCAGUGUAUGUCAGACACUGUAAUACUGAAUUGAGGAAGCAGGUGUUCCCAAGAUUUUGCAAGCCAGCUCCAAUUCUCAUAAUUUUUCUGAAAGCAAUUCCAAAGCUCACUUCCGGAUCCAUCCCAUUACUUUCCAUCACCACAUCACCGCCACCCUUUUUUCCGGCGCCGACAAGUGACCCAUUUUCUUUACGGGUCUCCGAACUCGGGUUCAGUGUUUCCAGCUGAAACCCACCAUUAUUUUUCCCACUGAUAAACCCAUUAAACGGUUUCCUCGCCAAAUGAAACUCAAUCUUCCGAUGAAACACCGACGACGACGUAUCCAAACCCGGAUCCGACCCAAUUAACCCAGAUAUUUCUUGACCCAAAUUUUCCUCCAUUUUAUCAAUUAUAGCUUCCCCCAUUAAACCCCUCUUCUUCUUUCCACAUAAAAGUAUCAAAAUCAAGCCUUUUUCAAGAAUACUGAGCUAUUUCUGCUUGUUUUCCUUUAUUUUUCACUCGUUUUUCAGCCUAAAACUAUGAACGAAUUGGGGCUUUCACCAUAAAUUCACUGAACAAUUGUGAAAAAAAAG